ensembl:lncRNA
UAGGAAACUUCUCUUUAUUGUUAAUACUGAGCUGUUUCUAUUCUUUGCUGAAGAUCGGUGCAACGGAAACUGGUGUGUUCACCACUGAGAACUCAACACAGCUGAGCGAUCCUGAUCUCAUGCUGAUUUACCUCCUUUUUGACUGCUUUGUGCCAUCUAAUUUCUGCAUAAGUUGUUAGUGCAGUAAUAUUAUGCAGAUGCUGCAAAGUGUGUACACUAACUGUGUAACAAGAUUGAAAUCCAAGUAUCCGGGUUACAUGAGGGUUGAGACACCGUUGCACUAGCAGUAGAUUUUAUUAGGAUAUUUCCUGGGUAUCACUCUAGGUGCCUCUCUCUUUGUCGUUAACAAGUUUGGUCGGUCCACCCAAAGCUCGUUUGGGUGUAAGCACUGUUGGGUUGAACCCUGUAUGAUAAAAACAAAUUCAUGAAUGUUCCAGGAGGAGUUCUGUCCACUACAAACCUUUUUAAAAAGUAGCGAAUAAAGAGAAGUGAUGAGAGACUGGCUCAAUCUUUAGAAUGCAACCCUAAUCUGAAUUUCUUUUAUAGAAGGUAAAAGCAGGAAGGUUCUUAUAAUGUGCUAUACUACCAAUAAUCCAGCUGCUGCUUUUUUGCCAGGUCAGGAGUGAUCUGUGGAAGAAAAAAUUGUUUUCUUUUUCCUCUUCCCUUGACUUGUUAAGAUUUGUGUGGCUGUUUCUUGCCAUUGAGGAGUAUGAACUACAACUUCUGAUCUUAGUGUUGUGACAGCAAAGGAAAUUAUUUGGAGCUGGAUAGGUCAAAGGAGAAUGGGAGGGGGGCUUAAAAGUUGUUUCCAGUAGGCCAAAAGAAUGUGGAUACUGUCUCUUCAAGGUGCAAUUUCUUACUUCAACAAACUGUUCAUCUAAGAGAAACAGGGAUAAAAGUGUUCAAUUUGGGACCUAAGGAGUUUGUAUGGAAAUUCUUGGAUUUCUUCCAAACACACAUACUUACAGAAGUGCGUGUGUAUGUGUGUGUUUGUGAGUGUGUGUUAAUGCUAUGUCUCUUUUGGAUCUCUUGACACUUUUUGGUGCAUUUUUGUACUUCUUUGAAUGUGCAUAUGCGUACUUACCGAUGGUAUAUUGACG